rnacentral:rRNA from 1 species
AUGAACGCUGGCGGCGUGCCUAAUACAUGCAAGUCGAGCGAACGGACGAGAAGCUUGCUUCUCUAAUGUUAGCGGCGGACGGGUGAGUAACACGUGGAUAACCUACCUAUGAGACUGGGAUAACUUCGGGAAACCGUAGCUAAUACCGGAUAAUAUUUUGAACCGCAUGGUUCAAAAGUGAAAGACGGUCUUGCUGUCACUUAUAGAUGGAUCCGCGCUGCAUUAGCUAGUUGGUAAGGUAACGGCUUACCAAGGCAACGAUGCAUAGCCGACCUGAGAGGGUGAUCGGCCACACUGGAACUGAGACACGGUCCAGACUCCUACGGGAGGCAGCAGUAGGGAAUCUUCCGCAAUGGGCGAAAGCCUGACGGAGCAACGCCGCGUGAGUGAUGAAGGUCUUCGGAUCGUAAAACUCUGUUAUUAGGGAAGAACAUAUGUGUAAGUAACUGUGCACAUCUUGACGGUACCUAAUCAGAAAGCCACGGCUAACUACGUG